CAUUAGAUGACUGAAAGCAAGUAAUGGUCUCUUAAACCAAUUUAAGGUAAAAUAGCAUAUACCUCUAAUG
rnacentral:tRNA from 1 species